rnacentral:lncRNA from 1 species
ACCCCAUUAUCCCCAUAUCCCCUCCAUUAUAACCCCAUUAACCCCAUAUCCCCUCCAUUAUAACCCCAUUAACCCCAUAUCCCCUCCAUUAUGACCCCAUUAACCCCAUAUCCCCUCCACUGUGACCCCAUUAACCCCAUAUCCCUUCCAUUACGACCCCAUUAACCCCAUUAACCCCACAUCCCUUCCAUUCUGACCCCAUUAACCCCAUAUCCCCCCACUUUGAACCCCAUUAACCCCAUAUCCCUUCCAUUGUGACCCCAUUAACCCCCUUAACCCCAUUAACCCCAUAUCCCUUCCAUUAUGACCCCAUUAACCCCAUUAACCCCAUAUCCCUUCCAUUAUGACCCCAUUAACCCCAUAUCCUACCACUUUGAACCCCAUUAACCCCAUAUCCCUUCCAUUACGACCCCAUUAACCCUAUUAAC